rnacentral:rRNA from 1 species
UACGGAGGGGGCUAGCGUUGUUCGGAAUUACUGGGCGUAAAGCGCACGUAGGCGGCUUUGUAAGUUAGAGGUGAAAGCCCCGGGCUCAACCUGGGAAUUGCAUUCGAGACUGAAUAGCUAGGGUACGGUAGAGGGAAGUGGAAUUUCCGGUGUAGCGGUGAAAUGCGUAGAUAUCGGAAGGAACAUCAGUGGCGAAAGCGACUUCCUGGACCAGUACCGACGUUCAGGCACGAAAGCGUGGGGAGCAAACAGG